rnacentral:rRNA from 1 species
UACGUAGGUGGCAAGCGUUGUCCGGAUUUAUUGGGUUUAAAGGGUGCGUAGGCGGCUUAUUAAGUCAGUGGUGAAAUACUCUAGCUCAACUAGAGGGGUGCCAUUGAUACUGAUGAGCUUGAGUACAGAUGAGGUAGGCGGAAUUGACGGUGUAGCGGUGAAAUGCUUAGAUAUCGUCAAGAACACCUAUAGCGAAGGCAGCUUACUAUGCUGUAACUGACGCUGAGGCACGAAAGUGUGGGGAUCAAACAGG